GACGUAGGGCGCGAGCGUUGUCCGGAUUUAUUGGGCGUAAAGAGCGCGUAGGCGGUCCGAUAAGUCGGCUGUGAAAGUCAGGGGCUCAACCCUUGAAAGCCGGCCGAUACUGUCGGACUAGAGUCCGGAAGAGGCAAGUGGAAUUCCCGGUGUAGCGGUGAAAUGCGCAGAUAUCGGGAGGAACACCAAUGGCGAAGGCAGCUUGCUGGGACGGUACUGACGCUGAGGCGCGAAAGCGUGGGGAGCGAACAGG
rnacentral:rRNA from 1 species